AGACUCAACCCCUCGGGUUUCCGAGUAGGUUGGAUGUGGGUGUUGCCUGCCUCUGGCUCACCUUAAAGAACUUAGUGGGGAUAGCAUCCUAGUCGACGUAAUAAGUUUCGCCGGUGAUGGUGUGAAGCCUGCUCAUAACUGCCCUUGGGCACCUUUUGACU
rnacentral:misc_RNA from 1 species